GCCAGCGUGGCAUAGCGGUUUGAGCACUGGACUCUGACUCUGGAGACCAAGGUUCGAAUCCUGGCUUAGCCU
rnacentral:tRNA from 1 species